CCAAUAGCGUAUAUUAAAGUUGUUGCAGUUAAAAAGCUCGUAGUUGAAUUUCGGGGUCAGCAAGUUGGUCGUGCCACCGGUAUGCACUGGCUUUGCUGAUUCCUCCUUCUUGUAGAACCGUAAUGCCAUUAAUUUGGUGUUGCGGGAAAACAGGACUGUUACUUUGAAAAAAUUAGAGUGUUUAAAGCAGGCUAACGCUUGAAUACAUUAGCAUGGAAUAAUGAAAUAGGACGACGAUCCUAUUUUGUUGGUUUCUAGGAUUGACGUAAUGAUUAAUAGGGAUAGUUGGGGGCAUUAGUAUUCAAUUGUCAGAGGUGAAAUUCUUGGAUUUAUUGAAGACUGACUACUGCGAAAGCAUUUGCCAAGGAUGUUUUCAUUAAUCAAGAACGAAAGUUAGGGGAUCGAAGACGAUCAGAUACCGUCGUAGUCUUAACCAUAAACUAUGCCGACUAGGGAUCGGAUGAUGUUAAUUUUAUAAUGACUCAUUCGGCGCCUUACG
rnacentral:rRNA from 1 species